rnacentral:rRNA from 1 species
CCAAUAGCGUAUAUUAAAGUUGUUGCAGUUAAAAAGCUCGUAGUUGAAUUUCGGAAUCGACGGAUUGGUCGCGCCUUCGGUGUGUACUGGUCUUGCCGGUUUCUCCCUUCUGACGAACCACGAUGUCAUUAAUUUGGUGUCGUGGGAAAUCAGGACUGUUACUUUGAAAAAAUUAGAGUGUUUAAAGCAGGCAUUAGCUUGAAUACAUUAGCAUGGAAUAAUGAAAUAGGACGUUUGAUCUUAUUUUGUUGGUUUCUAGGAUCGACGUAAUGAUUAAUAGGGAUAGUUGGGGGCAUUAGUAUUCAAUUGUCAGAGGUGAAAUUCUUGGAUUUAUUGAAGACUAACUACUGCGAAAGCAUUUGCCAAGGAUGUUUUCAUUAAUCAAGAACGAAAGUUAGGGGAUCGAAGACGAUCAGAUACCGUCGUAGUCUUAACCAUAAAUUAUGCCGACUAGGGAUCGGAUGAUGUUAAUUUUUUAAUGACUCAUUCGGCGCCUUACG